CUUAAUGGCGGCUGUACGUGGGGCACUUCGUGUGCGCCGAGUUGUUCUGGAGUUAUCGGUCUGUCAACCCGCGUACAGCUGCCACCUAA
rnacentral:antisense_RNA from 1 species